rnacentral:tRNA from 1 species
GGGGCUAUAGUUCAGCUGGGAGAACGCUUGCAUGGCAUGCAAGAGGUCGUCGGUUCGAGUCCGAUUAGCUCCA